rnacentral:rRNA from 1 species
AGAGUUUGAUCAUGGCUCAGGAUAAACGCUGGCGGCGCACAUAAGACAUGCAAGUCGAACGAACUUAACUCAUUCUUUUAGUUUGAGAGCGGUUAGUGGCGGACUGGUGAGUAACACGUAAGCAACCUGCCUAUUAGAGGGGAAUAACAGUGAGAAAUCAUUGCUAAUACCGCAUAUGCUAACAGUAUCGCAUGAUACAGUUAGGAAAGGAGUAAUCCGCUAAUAGAUGGGCUUGCGCCUGAUUAGCUAGUUGGUGGGGCAAUGGCCUACCAAGGCGACGAUCAGUAGCCGGACUGAGAGGUUGAACGGCCACAUUGGGACUGAGAUACGGCCCAGACUCCUACGGGAGGCAGCAGUCGGGAAUAUUGCGCAAUGGAGGAAACUCUGACGCAGUGACGCCGCGUAUAGGAAGAAGGUUUUCGGAUUGUAAACUAUUGUCGUUAGGGAAGAUACAAGACAGUACCUAAGGAGGAAGCCCCGGCUAACUAUGUGCCAGCAGCCGCGGUAAUACAUAGGGGGCAAGCGUUAUCCGGAAUUAUUGGGUGUAAAGGGUGCGUAGACGGAGGAGCAAGUUGGUUGUGAAAUCCCUCGGCUUAACUGAGGAACUGCAACCAAAACUACUUCCCUUGAGUGUCGGAGAGGAAAGUGGAAUUCCUAGUGUAGCGGUGAAAUGCGUAGAUAUUAGGAGGAACACCAGUGGCGAAGGCGACUUUCUGGACGAUAACUGACGUUGAGGCACGAAAGUGUGGGGAGCAAACAGGAUUAGAUACCCUGGUAGUCCACACCGUAACGAUGGAUAC